CGGCAGCCACUUAGACGAGGGAAGGAGCAAGGGCGGAGGAGGAGGGGAAGAGGUGCCCGCCACAAACUCGAGAGGAGCCUCCAUCUCCACCGGCCCUGAGCUGAGAGUUGGCGGAGGCGAGGGACUGGGGGGGGAGGGGGGAGGGGGGAUAGCUAGCCCCCUGUGAGCGCUGGGAGCAGGAGGGGGAAGCCGUGCGUCCCCCCUCCCGCCCGAGGUGGGCUCAGGAGCGGACUUCGCUUCUCGGACGACCGUGGCGGCGGCGGCGGGGGGCGCGAGGAGUGAAGGUCGCCAGGAGGGUUCCCGGGGAGCUCCUGCCGCACAGCGCGCAAGGAGACCAUCAUCCUUAAAGCUGUCUGCUCCCGUCAAAGUCUCUCUUGGAAGUUUCAAAGGUCUACUUUUUCUUCCUGAAAAACCUGAGCUGUGAUGUUUUGACUUUUAAAAACCCCCUGGUAAAUAGAUGUGGACUUCAGAUAGAAUGAGCAAUGCAAAGAACUGGCUUGGACUUGGUGUGUCCUUAUAUUUUUGGGGACUGAUGGACCUUACUACACUUGCACUGUCUGAGAGUGCCAGGCCACUCACCAAAAGCCAGGAAGAUAGCCUGUCGGACAAGCUGCUACUGCAUCAGCGAAUGAAGAGGAGCUGGGUAUGGAACCAGUUUUUUGUUCUUGAAGAAUAUACUGGAACCGAUCCUCUGUAUGUUGGCAAGCUCCAUUCCGAUAUGGACAGAGGAGAUGGAUCAAUCAAGUACAUUCUCUCAGGAGAAGGAGCUGGCAUUGUAUUUACGAUCGAUGAUACCACUGGGGACAUUCAUGCCAUUCAGAGAUUGGACCGAGAGGAGAGGUCCCAGUAUACUCUGAGGGCUCAGGCCCUGGACAGACGGACAGGCAGGCCAAUGGAACCAGAAUCAGAGUUCAUCAUCAAAAUCCAAGACAUCAAUGACAAUGAACCCAAGUUCCUGGAUGGACCUUAUGUAGCCUCAGUUCCAGAAAUGUCACCAGUAGGCACCUCUGUUAUCCAGGUGACAGCAACAGAUGCUGAUGAUCCAACCUAUGGGAACAGUGCCAGAGUAGUCUACAGUAUUCUCCAGGGGCAACCAUAUUUCUCUGUGGACUCCAGAACAGGCUUAAUUAGAACAGCUCUAAUGAACAUGGACAGAGAAGCAAAAGACUAUUAUGAAGUGAUUAUCCAGGCCAAAGAUAUGGGUGGACAGCUGGGAGGAUUAGCUGGGACAACCAAAGUCAACAUCACCCUCUCUGAUGUCAAUGACAAUCCACCCAGGUUUCCACAGAAACAUUAUCAGAUGAGUGUGCUGGAGUCCGCUCCAGUCAGCUCCACUGUGGGCCGUGUUGUUGCUAAAGAUCUGGAUGAAGGCAUUAAUGCUGAAAUGAAAUACAGCUUUGUAGAUGGAGAUGGACUGGAUGUCUUUGACAUUAACACUGAUCCUAAUUACCAAGUUGGCAUCAUAACUGUGAGAAAGCCCUUAAGUUUUGAGAGCAAGAAGAGCUACGCUUUAAAAGUAGAGGGCACCAAUCCCCACCUGGAAACGCGUUUCCUGGACCUGGGCCCCUUCCGAGACACCACGACUGUGCACAUCAGUGUGGAGGAUGUGGACGAGCCCCCAGUGUUUGAGUCUAGCUUCUACUUUGUGGAAGUGCCUGAGGAUGUGGAGAUCGGAACCACCAUACAAAUUAUUUCUGCCAGGGACCCUGAUGUAACCAACAACUCAAUCAGAUAUUCAAUUGAUAGAAGCAGUGAUCCCGGGAGGUUCUUUUACGUUGACAUUGCAACAGGAGCUCUGAUGACUGCAAGACCUCUUGACCGGGAAGACCUUUCUUGGCACAAUAUCACUGUGCUGGCUGUGGAGCUGAACAAUCCCUCACAGGUUGGCAGUGUAUCAGUCACAGUAAAAGUCCUGGAUGUGAAUGAUAAUGCUCCUCAGUUUUCCAUGUUCUAUGAAGCUUUUGUGUGUGAAAAUGCAAAAGCUGGGCAGCUGAUUCAGACAGUGAGUGCAAUUGACCAGGAUGACCCACAAGGGGGUCAGCACUUCUACUACAGCUUGGCUCCUGAGGCAGCUAACAACCCCAACUUCACACUGAGGGACAAUCAAGGUAAUCAGAGUGGACACCAUCCGUUAGUGACACUUAUUUCUAUAGUCUGAGUUGGAUGUGAGAGGCUUUGACUCAGUGCGCUAUGAGCCUGCCAUUAUCAAUAAUGCCAAGUGACACCUGCUACUUAAAGGCAGCAAUAAAAUGACAUUUUAUACACUUGAAGGUUAUACAACAUUUGCGUCUAUAUAAAUAUUUCCCAGUGAUAGGCGCUUUUCUUCAAGGAAAAGUGUCAGCAUUGUGCAAAUUCAGAUCUUGUGGUCAUGCUGUAGGCAUCUAAGAUUUCAAGAGUGGGACUUGGUUCAAAAGGUGAGGUUUAAAGGUAGGAUUAGAACUGGAACUAGGAUAAAUCGAGAGCAAAAUAAUUUCACUCUUUUGCACCCUACAUGUUUUCUUCCAAGCACAGAAAGUGAAUGCUCCUAUUAUUCCAGUGUCUCCUCUCUUUUUCUCAAAGCUCUUUACACUUGUUCACUUACUGCUCGUAAAAAAGCUGUAAGAGUUACAGGGGAGAUGCACGACACAGAGGUAAGAAGCCAUCUAGGAUGCACGGAGCAGAAAGGGAGAAGCCAGAGUAGAACACUCAAAAAAGGAAACAGGGAGUAACAAGGCAAGACAGUGAAAAACCAUUGUCCAAGAACAAGGAGAUAAGCAUGUUAGCUGGAUGGUUCAAAUGGGAUCAUUCAAAGUGAAAAACAUUUGGAACUGAACCUGAUCUUGCAGACUUUGCACACAAAGUGUCCUUUAUUCUAGCUUUAAGAGGUUGCCACAACUAUAUAAACGUUCGCAGUGAAAUAUUUAGUGCAGAAGCGGCUCACCACGUCUUGCCCAGUGGUACAGAGCUACUUCUCUGCACUGCGUAUAGGAGACCUAGCAUUGACAAUGGAGCCGAUACAGGGUUGGAAAAUAAUGCUUUCAGCCUAUGGUAGGAAGAAGUCUCUCUUGUACAUCAUAUUAACUCUAGAAGCUUCUUUCAAAGUGAAAGAAAUUUGACUCAGAGUUUGUUCUAUUCUUUGUGCUCAUGCAAAGCUGUUGCGAACUUCUUUGGCAGUCCUCCAGCUGCUAUCCCACACUGCUUUGCAGGCAACCAUUAAUGACUUGUCUAUUUACCUCUAUGCCUUCCACUGCUCCGGUGUCAAGCUGACCAGAUGCCCCUUUCCCUGUUUAAAAACUGACAUAGGGCCAGAUUUUGUCCAUUUUCUCCUGGAUUUGAAUACAUCAGUAUUACUCCAGAAGCCCUAAAACAUGCCUAAAGCAGCUGCUUGAAGCUGUGCCAAGACCCUGAAUCUCAUCACCUCCUGGGGAGAAGCAUCAGGAAGCUCUUGUGGCCAUGCACCAGAAGAAAGCUCUUUCUGUGGGCACUGCUAAGCACAUAACAAGGACAGGCCUCAACUAGCACACCAAACACUGCAGGAUAAAGAGCAAACAGCCCAGGAGGACUUACAUUCACAGCGGGGAUGCUGGGAAAAGGUCCAGUAGUGGCAAUGUGACCUGUCCAUCUUUUGAAGAGCAGGACAGAAUUUUGAUCAGUUACCCUACCACCCAAACCAGGAAGGGUAUGGACCCUGCUCUGUCCCCACCCCAAGAACAACCUGCAAGACUCACUGGAGGAUGAGCAUGAGGAAGCCAGUGAAGACCUCUCCCCAGAAUGCUAAGAUUUCUUCAGGAUUCAGAACCAUGAUGUUGGCCAGGUAGAAAGUGAGCCCAGUUCCUGAUGUGCAGCAACCAAGCCCAAUUCCUAGCCAGAAAUCCAGGCUGGGACUGAGAAGGCAGACCCUCUCAUGGGAAGCUUGUCAACCGCAGCAUUUGCAGUGGUCAGACCCUCCAUGACAAGGCCUUUAUCAAUGGCUGAGUGGCUGGCUAACCUGAUGGGGAAGAGACUUUAAAUGCAACAUAAAAUGUUUGCAGGCCUCAUUGCAGAGGCCCAAUGACAAAUGAAAAUAGUGGAGAGAUGGAGGCUGUACUUGGGCAAAGAGAAGGGAAAAAAAAGAAACUGAGCUUCUCAGAGACACUAUUGGGGUGAACAAAGACAGUGUCACAGUGGCCAGGGACAGCAUUGCAAUGGCAAAAGAUGCUGUUGAAAUAGACAUGGAGAUAUGAAGGCAACUCCUGGAGGCUACAGAGAGCCAGAAGGGUCUGCUGCAGCUUCUGUUAACCAAGACCCAGUCAUCUUAUGCAGCCCCUGACAAUAUAGGGUACUGGGAACACUAGCAACAGAGUGUACUACUCUACACCCAACAGAGUACUCCCAACCCUACAAAGGCCAUUCUUUCACAGACCCAAGCUCAGGACAGCAAGAACCGUUUCACCUGGGAUCCCUCAUUAUUUGAGCCAUCUACCACCCGUAAUAACUUUGACCCUUGCCACUCAACACCAGAAGAGGAAGAGGCGAGUUCACCUCGAAUUUCACAUGUUCACCUGUGAAUUGAGCCCUCCCUCCCUUGGUUGUGUUCUGCCCUCCACUGCACAAUGUCACUUUGAAUUUUUGUUUAGUUAUUGUUCAAAAUAAGGCCUCUUUCUGUUUUCUAUAUAAUACAGUGUUUAAUAAUAAAACUCAUUACAAUAAUUUAUAAAAAGAGUUGUCAGAGCAUUUUAUAUAGAAAAUCCAUAGACUGUAAAUAGUUCAGAGUGUUUUACAGAAGAACCAAGCACAGCCAAAAUAAAAUGGAGGAUUGCCACGACAUUGCCCUUCACUUCACUAAUACUGCCCUGCUCACAAUCCGCGCCCCCCACACACACACACACCCUCAACUGGGUAACAGCUGGACAUUUUCAGGCUGAGACUCAAAGUAAGAUCAAGAGGCAUCUAUGACAGCAUUGGGCAAACUGGCUGUUUCUAUUUUGUAUUGGAUGCCUUCCUGGCUUCUCAAGACACAGGCUUAAUCCCAGGUGGAAGGCUUUUUCCCUUACUCUGACAAAUGUUGUUCAAAAUGUAACGGAGCAAUAAUUUUAAGGCACUUAUUUUUUUCCCUCCAGCUUCCAACAUAUUCCACAAACAGCGCUACCUUCCUUUCAAACUGCAAAAUGCACACCCACUGUCAUUCUGCAACUAUUAAGACUGUAGUUAAACAAUUCCUUCCUUCUGUCCAAACCAACUGUGAAUGGCUGUCACCCAGGGAAGCAGAGAACAAGCCAGGUCUCCUAGGAUAACCAGAGCAAUCUGCACACCAUUAAUGUCCAUAAUCAUCCUCUAGGCAAAUUGUUCUUGAUCCAUUAAGAUAAACAGAGCUGAGUUCCCAAAAUCCUAUCAUUGUGGACUCUUCCAGACCACCCUGCAUUUAAGUCUGUAAACCAGCCACAGUGGUCAACAGCCUUUGUAACACCAUGGAGAAAUACCCCUUUCUGUGUAUAAAUUCUGAGCUGCGGGCAUGGAGGGGAAGGGAUGGGAGGAGCCAAAUAAUAGGUACAUUGUAUUGGAGCAACUGAUGGCAGCAGUUUGGGAAUCCCAUGAGUGCAAAGCCAUCAGUAAGUAAUAUGCUAAACAUUACCAAGCUUUAUAAUCUGGUUCAACAGUACCUCUUCCAUGGCACCACACAUAAACAUUGGCCCUCACAGCUGAUCUCCCCAGGCCAAAUUGGUUGGCUGUGUUCCAGUAGCAUUCUGGAGUGACCAGCUUCCAGAUGGCAAUGGCAACCUACUUCUCUGCCGGUAUGGGGCACCGUGUGUUUGUAUGCUGCUACUCCAGGGCCAAUUCUGUACAGAUCUCAAAAAAGGUUGCCUACACUACCUGAAAUUCUCUCUCCAGGGCGGAUUGCCCCAGCUCUGCAGAAUGAUCCUUUCCCACCAAUCCACGCUGGCUUCCCGAGCCCAGAAACGGCACUGCAGGCUGUGAAGCUACUUCAGCAACUGCUCCUCUCAUGUCAGUUGCUCGCUGUCCUCCUCUUCUUCCUCAGCCUCUGAAGCUGAUGUGGCAAGUGAAGUCCAAACCCAAAGUCAUCCAGCUUUGAGUGCUGAAAUAGAGUCGAAGCAGCCUCUGUGUGCUCACAGUUGCCAGUGUUGCUGAGUCCAUGCUGGCUGACAGCAAUUCAAAAAAAAUGCUAGUCUGCCCAGAAAAGGAAGCAUGGGGAAGAGAGAAUGGAAAAAUGGGAUUUCUUUUUUUUUUUUUAAAUUGAAAUGCCCUGGCUUCUGGUAUACAUCCCACAAUUCACAGAGAGAAAAAUCCCAGAAUGCACACUGCUCAGCAGCAAAGCAAAGGACCAUGGGAUACCCUCAGAGAAUGCAACAUGCUUGUUGUUCACCAAGCCGCCACUGUGUGCGCACAAUGAUGUGAAUCGAAACAGGCACCACCAGCCUGUGUGUGCGCGCCAUUAGUGCAGCUCAUGUCCUGCAAAUUAAAUAAUGCAAGUCAAAUUAAUCCUCUACGCCCACUCCCACUCUGUGUGGGCAAACCUAGAGAUGGCACAGAAUUCUCUUCUCCGAUUUAGCACUGACAAGAUCAGCACUGACUUCCCCAGAAAAUCCCUGCUUAUUUCCUUGAGGAUCGAACUGUGAACAGCUGUCUGAACCCCAACCCUUCUGGCCAGCUGCACCCAUGGUAAUUCGGAAGUCCUGACUCUGAAGUUUGUAGUGUGGACAGGGGCCUUUGUGUUUCGUGAAGAGCUGGUUGAGAACUGGAAAUUCUGUUCUGUGGGAAAGUGGAACAUUUUGGCAAGGGGUGGAGAACGAAUUGUUCUAAAUUAGAAGACUAAAAUUUCUAUUUCCUGUGAAAUAAUUCCAAAAAGUUUGAAUUGAGACCAAAAUGUUUCAUUUCAAUAUAGUG